AGUGUCUGAGGAAAGCACAUGAUGAGACGUGUACACAGCAGUCACCCAGCUGCAGGGUGGUGGAGACUUUAAAGGAUUUCCUGAUGCUUUCUAUGUUUUAUGAUAUAAAUAGACAUCUAGGAAAUGACUCCUCUAAACAGACGUGGUUUUUCUUUUUCCUUGUUUUCGGCUUCCAUCGCCACUCCAGGAAGUAUGGAUCUUGGAACAAACUCUGAUGCAUUCAGGAAGAAAGUGAUUCUGCACAAAAGCUGAGCUCGUACCUGUACGAUUCUGCAAUCAGCAUCACAAGCUGGAGUGUUCUUCCUGCCCGUCGUCCUCUGAAACACACAGAAAUGGAGUAAUAAGAGCCAAGUACAGUAUUCCACCCUCAUCUCAAAGUGUCCUCUGUAAAUAGACCGCCAGCACACUAGGUACACAAGCAUUAGGCAAGGUGUAUUCCUGAGGAUUUGUUUUAUUUUUAAAGAAAUGCAGUGCUCCCAGUCAGUCCAAAAUGUUGAUACAGUUUAGUUUUGGCUUUCUCUGGAGAGUAUCUGUGUGGGGACAAUUAUUCUUCACCUAUUAGUGUGCAGAAUUAUUAUGAAACUACAUGGAAAAACUAAAAAUUUCUCAUCUCACUCGUUUAUUUUUAUUUAUUAGAGUAAGAAUAACAAACAGAUGACCAAUGCAGCCCCGCCUCUUUUCAAUAGCUAUCCAUGGAGUCUGUUAGUUUCUUGAUCUGCUCAAAGAUCUGUAUUGUCUUCCAUCACUGUAAAUCUUAUCUUUAACCCCAUAUAACCAUUUGUAUCAUAUUUGAUGCAUGAGUUUCUAAGACAGGAGUGUCCAACAUGCGGUCCGCGGGCCAAAACCGGCCCUCCAGAGGCUCCAAUCCGGCCCUCAAUGUGUAAAAAUUACAGAGAAGACAUUGACUGCAGCUUUUAAAUUUGUAAAGCUGUGAGUUUAAUAUAAAUUCCUGACCAUGACAAGUUGUUUUGAUCACAAAGCAAAAUACUAGAUUGCUCAUUGGGUUUUUUUUUUUGUCAUUUUGUGUGUCAUUUUUAUAAUAUUUUUUCUUAUUUUGCUGGGGUUUUUUGCCAGACUUUUGUGGUUUGUCUCGUGUUUUUGUCGUUUUGUUUCGCGUUUUUGUCGUUUUGUUUCCUUUUUGUCUCGCUUGUGUUUUUUGUCUUGUUUGUCAUUUUCUGUUUUGCUUUGUGUUGUUUUGUGCAUCAUUUUGUGUUUUGUUGUCUCACUUGUCUUUUUUAUAUUGUUUUGUUUCUUGCUUUUUUUGUCAAAUUUUUGUCUGUCCAUUUUUUGGGGGCUUUUUCACUUUUUUGUCAAAUUUUUUCCCUCUUUUUUGUUUUGUUUUGUCUGUUUUUAUUGUUUUUUUGUCAUUUCUGUCGUUUUUAUCAUAGAUUAAAAUACCUGUGACUAAAUGUUGUUCCUCUGUGGACACUCUGUGACCUGGAAGUGGUCGUGUGUAAACGAUAAACUGAGACAUAAUAUUGUUGAAACUGAAUUUAUAUUUCUUCAGAAACUUCAGGUUGUUCAUAAUGUUUUGGAAAAAGACGGUUCCUUAAAUGUGAACCUCGUCAGAACGUACUUUUUUGCACGAAACGGAGGACAAUUUGCGAUUUGUCGUUAUUAUUGGUUAAUAUGCUGUAAUUUUAGUGGUGUGGCCCAUUUGAGAUCAAAUUGAGCUGAUCUAGAAUGAGUUUGACACCCUGGUAUAGGAUGUUGAUCACUUUAGGCCACACCCCCUCAUUACACAAAGACACAUCACCUGAUAAUGUGUGUAAAUCCAAUUAGCAUUCAAGUUUCUAUAGCGUGGAUUUGGAAAAUAUGCAUGAAAAUGGCCAUAAGAUCAAGAUACUUUCCUACUAAUUGUGCCCACGGUGUAAAGCUCACAUGUUGUCUCUAUAUACUGCUCCUUCCUGUGAGUUCUAUGGUUUUAUUAUCUCCAUCUUUGUCUUCCUGUGUAAGCUGACCCACCUAUAGCUGCCUGUAAUCUGGCGCUCGGAAAUUAAAAUCAUCAAUCCGUGAAGGAAACUCCA